rnacentral:rRNA from 1 species
UACGUAGGGGGCAAGCGUUGUCCGGAUUUAUUGGGCGUAAAGAGCGUGUAGGCGGUCAGGUAGGUCCGUUGUGAAAACUCGAGGCUCAACCUCGAGACGCCGAUGGAAACCAUCUGACUAGAGUCCGGAAGAGGAGAGUGGAAUUCCCGGUGUAGCGGUGAAAUGCGCAGAUAUCGGGAGGAACACCAAUGGCGAAGGCGGCUCUCUGGGGACGGUACUGACGCUGAGACGCGAAAGCGUGGGGAGCAAACAGG